UGCCUAGAAACUCAUAUCCCUACCUCCACGUGGUACCGGCCGGUAACUAUGAGCAACCUUUAGGGAAG
rnacentral:ribozyme from 1 species